AGUGAACGCUGGCGGUAGGCCUAACACAUGCAAGUCGAACGGCAGCACAGUAAGAGCUUGCUCUUACGGGUGGCGAGUGGCGGACGGGUGAGGAAUACAUCGGAAUCUACUUUUUCGUGGGGGAUAACGUAGGGAAACUUACGCUAAUACCGCAUACGACCUACGGGUGAAAGCAGUGGAUCUUCGGACCUUGCGCGGUUGAAUGAGCCGAUGGCGGAUUAGCUAGUUGGCGGGGUAAAGGCCCACCAAGGCGACGAUCCGUAGCUGGUCUGAGAGGAUGAUCAGCCACACUGGAACUGAGACACGGUCCAGACUCCUACGGGAGGCAGCAGUGGGGAAUAUUGGACAAUGGGCGCAAGCCUGACCCAGCCAUACCGCGUGGGUGAAGAAGGCCUUCGGGUUGUAAAGCCCUUUUGUUGGGAAAGAAAAGCAGCAGGUUAAUACCCCGCUGUUCUGACGGUACCCAAAGAAUAAGCACCGGCUAACUUCGUG
rnacentral:rRNA from 1 species